rnacentral:rRNA from 1 species
UGGGGAAUAUUGCACAAUGGGGGAAACCCUGAUGCAGCAACGCCGCGUGAGUGAUGACGGUCUUCGGAUUGUAAAGCUCUGUCUUCAGGGACGAUAAUGACGGUACCUGAGGAGGAAGCCACGGCUAACUACGUGCCAGCAGCCGCGGUAAUACGUAGGUGGCAAGCGUUGUCCGGAUUUACUGGGCGUAAAGGGAGCGUAGGCGGACUUUUAAGUGGGAUGUGAAAUACCCGGGCUUAACCUGGGUGCUGCAUUCCAAACUGGAAGUCUAGAGUACAGGAGGGGAAAGCGGAAUUCCUAG